rnacentral:rRNA from 1 species
AGCGAACGCUGGCGGCAGGCCUAACGCAUGCAAGUCGAACGAACUCUUCGGAGUUAGUGGCGGACGGGUGCGUAACACGUGGGAACGUGCCUUUUGGUUCGGAAUAACUCAGGGAAACUUGUGCUAAUACCGAAUGUGCCCUUCGGGGGAAAGAUUUAUCGCCAUUAGAGCGGCCCGCGUCUGAUUAGCUAGUUGGUGAGGUAACGGCUCACCAAGGCGACGAUCAGUAGCUGGUCUGAGAGGAUGACCAGCCACACUGGGACUGAGACACGGCCCAGACUCCUACGGGAGGCAGCAGUGGGGAAUCUUGCGCAAUGGGCGAAAGCCUGACGCAGCCAUGCCGCGUGAAUGAUGAAGGUCUUAGGAUUGUAAAAUUCUUUCACCGGGGACGAUAAUGACGGUACCCGGAGAAGAAGCCCCGGCUAACUUCGUG